ACUGUGAGUCUUCUGAUCUUGUUAUCGUGUCUGUUCUUGGGCCACUUCUGUGGCUGGAAAGACAGAACACGCUGGUUUGUCCAGUGACCAUGCUUGAAGUGGUUUUCCAAAGCCAGAGCAUUGCCAGAGAAUUGACUGAGAAAGACAAGGCUGCAGGCAAUAUUUUCCAUUCCGCCUUAAUUGGUCCAGGAGGAUAAUUCACCACGGCCUCGUCAAUAAUCCCAGGACUACGGAGAAAGUCAGUGUGGGACUCUAUGGCUGUAAGUGAAUCAUGGCUGAUUUGGUAAGACGACUGUCACCAAGACGGCUGACCUGAGGUUCGGUUCCUGGGACUUACAUGUUGGAAGGAGAGUGGACUCCUGUGAGUAGCCCUCUGACUGCCAUAUGCUGGUACCAACCCCCACCCAAGAUAAAUACUUUUUAAAAAGAAAAGUCCGCUGGGAAAAGCACUGUGACUCCUGGGCUGGGAGCAGGGCCCCACUCCACUCCAAGUUGCUUCGGGGCUUAUGGACUGAAAAACACCACCAGUUCUGGCCUCCCUGCCCCUCUCCUCCUCCUCUUUAUUUUACCUUUGUGUGAACCAAUGAGUUUACCGGGGUUACUUCAGGAACAUGGAUAAGAGAUUGCUUACAAAAAGAUGGGUGACCCCAAAACUGCUGCAUUGCUAUGAAGUCCUGCACCCUCACAGAUAGUGGCCUUGUGGGGGCUGCGUCAGUUAAAUUUCCUUCUGCUUUUAUGCUAAUAUAGCCAACAACUGAGAAGUGUAGAAAAAUAAUCACCCAGUUCCUUCUAUCCUGGCCGGUCAUUUCCCCAGCCCCGCCCCCUGCAUCUCUGCUAAUUGCCUUUUUACAUCUCACCGGUCUUCCUUGAGUCUUCAUGCAGAUAUGGGCAAGCAAGAACAAACACGGGCUUUUCUCCCACCUCCUUCUGUGUGCAAAAGGUAACACAAGGCACAUAACGUCCUGUAUCUUUUCCGUUUAUGGACACGCGAGCUCUCCAUGUUGGAACCCAGAAAGUUUCUCUUUCCGUUUGCACAGCUGUCUAAUGCUCUAUGCUUUUCAUGUUUCUCAUAUUUAACUAUUGAUCGGGGGGGGGGCACAUGUGCUGCAGUGUGCAUGCCGCAGUGCACAUUGUGGAGGGCAGAGGCCCACCUGUGGGAGCUGGUUCUCUCUUUCCACUGUGCUGUGCAUCUUGGGGUGGAGCUCAGGGCACCAGACCUGGCUGCAGGUGCUCUCAGCCGUUAAGCCUUCUCAUUAGGCCAUAAUGCUCUGCUUUAUGGUGUCGUAUCAUUUAUGUUUUGUUAUAUGUGGUCCAGAAGAUGACCUAGGAUAGCCAUAGGUAGCUUUGAAUGAGUGAAUUUAUUAAGCAUACAGCAAGUUAAAGUAAAAGAAUAAAUAGCAAAGUAUAGAUAGAUAGAUGCUAGAUAGAUAGAUAGAUAGACAGACAGACAGAUGAUAGAUAGAUAGAUAGAUAGAUAUAUAGAUAGAUAGAUAGAUAGACAGACAGACAGAUGAUAGAUAGACAGAUACAUAGAUACCAUCAAAUUGGGAAAUCAAAACAUUUAGCAAAAAUCAAUUGGGAAGCAAGGAUAUCAUCAAAUUGAAUGCUCAAGAUAUCCAGCAAAUUGGGUGCUCGACUUGCCAUCUGGGGAAGUUGAGGCAGUCAGCCUGCGUUCCUGACUGAGCUUUCAGCUGAGCUUCCCAAACAGCAGGAGCCUUUAGAUUGUGGUAACCUCUGUUGAAGACAGUUCACCUUCUAGCUGUUCCCAAGGGCACAGUGAUUCUACUCUUGGGAUGAGGGACACUAGGGGACGCUUUGAGACACAUGUAUAGGUCUGAACUGGGGGAGGACAGCAUCACUUGCAGAGCUGGCUUAGUGAGACAGCACAUGAUGGUUUGCCGGUGUAAUGUACCAAGUUAAUGGAUACCGCUACCUAGGACUGAGGACCGACCGGGACACAUGGCCCUGGCUCCAUCUCUGGAGUGAACUAACAACAAAUGGUGCAGAGGAAGCCAGAAGAAGGUGGCCAGAUUCUCUGGAACUGGAGUCACAGACGAUUGUGAGCUGCCAAAUGUGUGUACUUGUAACUGAAUCCUCUUCAAGAACAGGAAGUGCUCUUAACCACUGAACAAUCUCUCUUGCCCCUGGUUGUGAAUUUUUAUUAAGGAUUUUUAAUUAAUGGUCAUCAGUGCCAUUGAUAUGGCUUGCUUUUUUGUGCAUAGUAUCAUUGAGUUUUGGUAUAAAAAGGAAGAAUUUGAAGGUGUCUCCCCUGCUCUGAUGUGCUGUAUAAAGGUUCGUUAGCUUCUUCGCUGCAGCUCCGGGUGGUUGCUUUUCCAGUGGGUACAGGAACUCUCGGAGCCUUUCUGCUUCUUCCAUGCAGGCAGGCCUUCAUCACUUCUCUCCUGAGACCCGUUUUGUGCAUAUUGCUCUUUUGCUAUUUAGAAGUCUUGGCCUUUUCUUUUUGUGUUGUCUCAUGAAAGCCUAUUAUUAAUAUUUAUAAUUAA